UACGUAGGGUGCAAGCGUUAAUCGGAAUUACUGGGCGUAAAGGGCGCGUAGGCGGCCUACUAAGUCGGACGUGAAAUCCCUCGGCUCAACCGAGGAACUGCGUCCGAUACUGGCAGGCUGGAAUCCGGGAGAGGGAUGUGGAAUUCCAGGUGUAGCGGUGAAAUGCGUAGAUAUCUGGAGGAACACCGGUGGCGAAGGCGGCAUCCUGGACCGGUAUUGACGCUGAGGCGCGAAAGCUAGGGGAGCAAACGGG
rnacentral:rRNA from 1 species